UACGUAGGGUGCAAGCGUUGUCCGGAAUUAUUGGGCGUAAAGAGCUCGUAGGCGGUUUGUCGCGUCUGCUGUGAAAACUCGGGGCUUAACUCCGGGCCUGCAGUGGGUACGGGCAGACUAGAGUGCGGUAGGGGAGACUGGAAUUCCUGGUGUAGCGGUGAAAUGCGCAGAUAUCAGGAGGAACACCAGUGGCGAAGGCGGCUACCUGGACCGGUUCUGACGCUGAUGCGCGAAAGCGUGGGUAGCAAACAGG
rnacentral:rRNA from 1 species